rnacentral:misc_RNA from 1 species
AUGCGAUAAGUAAUGUGAAUUGCAGAAUUCAGUGAAUCAUCGAAUCUUUGAACGCAUAUUGCGCUCUCCGGCAUUCCGGAGAGCAUGCCUGUUUGAGUCUUGGUACCAAUCUGGUGUAACCUUUGUAUUAAGAAUAGAACUUUUUAUAAAAAACUGCAUUGAGACGUCUUGAUAAGUAAAAUUGUUAAGUGUCUUAAAAUAUAAUAGUACAGCUAUGGCUCGCCCUCUUUGGAGUAAUAUGUGACCUGAAAGGGUAACUCUAUUUCUCCUCGUUGGGAAGACUUGUUGCUGGAAGUUUUUGAUUGCUGAACGUCAAAGGCGGCAUUCAAUUGUUCGAGUAACAACGAACUUAAAAAUUCAAGCUCAAAUCAGGUAGGAUUACCCGCUGAACUUAA